GACGAACGCUGGCGGCGUGCUUAACACAUGCAAGUCGAGCGGUAAGGCCCUUUCGGGGGUACACGAGCGGCGAACGGGUGAGUAACACGUGGGUGACCUGCCCUUAGCUCUGGGAUAAGCCUGGGAAACUGGGUCUAAUACCGGAUAUGACUCCAUGACGCAUGUUGUGGGGUGGAAAGCCUUGUGCGGCUAGGGAUGGGCCCGCGGCCUAUCAGCUUGUUGGUGGGGUGAUGGCCUACCAAGGCGACGACGGGUAGCCGGCCUGAGAGGGCGACCGGCCACACUGGGACUGAGACACGGCCCAGACUCCUACGGGAGGCAGCAGUGGGGAAUCUUGCGCAAUGGGCGAAAGCCUGACGCAGCGACGCCGCGUGUGGGAUGACGGUCUUCGGAUUGUAAACCACUGUCGGGAGGGACGAAUACGCCGCAAGGCGGGUGACGGUACCUCCAAAGGAGCACCGGCUAACUCCGUGCCAGCCGCCGCCGU
rnacentral:rRNA from 1 species